rnacentral:rRNA from 1 species
AAAGCGUGCGUAGGCGGCUGAUUAAGUCGGAUGUGAAAUCCCUGAGCUUAACUUAGGAAUUGCAUUCGAUACUGGUCAGCUAGAGUAUGGGAGAGGAUGGUAGAAUUCCAGGUGUAGCGGUGAAAUGCGUAGAGAUCUGGAGGAAUACCGAUGGCGAAGGCAGCCAUCUGGCCUAAUACUGACGCUGAGGUACGAAAGCAUGGGGAGCAAACAGGAUUAGAUACCCUGGU